rnacentral:lncRNA from 1 species
GGUGAGGAACGCCAUGGCUGUGUCGAAGAACAAGGCCCCUGCUGGCACCAAGGUCACGCCUUCCAAUGGAAGGGGAAGCAGUGACAAAGGUGAAAAUCAUGGCGGUAACAGAAGUCAUUUACAGCGCGGAGUCUCCAACCCACAAUCACUGGGCAUCCCAUGGCUUUAAGAGCUCUGAAUGAUCAAUGGGAAAUAACUGCUAAGUCACCCAGCACAGAUUUUCGUCAUUACCUGUUCCUGCUCUGGACUCAGCCCCAGCCCUGGGGAGCUUCUAAACCAUGCGUUCAGCUCCUUCGGGACCCACUUGAUUACCCUGGAAACAGCAAGACAGCUCCAGCUCAAAAAUCAGAUGAUGCUAGGAUUUUUUCAUUUUUUAUUAUAAGAUUAAAGGGAAAAUGGUUACCCCUAUGGCUUGACAAACACAUAUAGUUUAUUUCAAAAAUGGGUAGCUGUGGGAAAGAAAGGAAUAUCUGAGCACAUGAUUUUAUCCAAUUAUGGCAAGAUUUAGUAUAAAUCAAAAACACCAAUCCUGAAUUCUUGUAGCUGAUUAGAUCUUCAUUCUUUCAUUCAUUGUAAUAGAAAUAGUGGCAGGAGCCCAUAGUGCCAGCUACCUUGGAGGCUGAGGCCGGAGGGUCCCCAGAGCCCAGGAGUUUGAGUCUAGUGUGGGCAAUAUAGUGAGACCCUGUCUCCUAAAAAAAUACAUAAUUUAAUGGACAGCUACUUUGUGCUGUGUUCUGUGCAAGGCACUAGUAUUGGAGAGUCCAUUGACAAUCAGAAAGAGAUCUUGUUCACAGAGGAGAGUAAUGAAUUAACAGAGGAAAUGAAUGUGUGUGGAUUGUUCUAAUACCAGAUAGAGGGCGGCAGCAAUGAUGGCAGAGGUUGACCUAGAAUGCUAUUGUUUCAAGAGAGGGAGAGUUUCCCUUGGCUUGAUGAUCCAAGGAAGACUUGUUGAAGAAAAU